GUACGGAAGAGAGCCAGUGAUGAUAUGCUGUCAAGGUAAAAUGACUUUGCUCAGAAAAGGGGAAUAUUUGGAGUUCCUAUUUCAAUGAAUAACAUCACUGGAACAUUCACCCCAUCAGGCAGACCUGGAAAACAAGCUUUCAGAAGGUCAUCAGCUCACGCUUGUAACCUUGCUGCCAUUUGUCUGUUCAAAUGUUUGGAGAUUGGAACAUAUAAUUAGAUUUCUCUCACAAAAGAAAAAGUGGAUUGUUCUUCUCGACAAUCUCUCUGUCGUCUUGGGAGAAGAAGAGAACAAGCAGUAGUCACCUGGACUGGAAAUCCCAUAUACACAUACUCCUUUGUAUUUCUUGAAAACCCUUAUGUUACUGUGGAGUCUUGCUGUUAGAAGGGGACCCAAAGGAAUUCUUUUGC